rnacentral:rRNA from 1 species
UGAGUAACACGUAUCCAACCUGCCGUCUACUCUUGGACAGCCUUCUGAAAGGAAGAUUAAUACAAGAUGGCAUCAUGAGUCCGCAUGUUCACAUGAUUAAAGGUAUUCCGGUAGACGAUGGGGAUGCGUUCCAUUAGAUAGUAGGCGGGGUAACGGCCCACCUAGUCUUCGAUGGAUAGGGGUUCUGAGAGGAAGAUCCCCCACAUUGGAACUGAGACACGGUCCAAACUCCUACGGGAGGCAGCAUG